rnacentral:ribozyme from 1 species
AUGACGGAAGGCUCUGCAAUGGGCUAGGAAACCUCUAGAAGGUCACACAGGAUCUACUAGUCAACUCCUAUUUCGUAACGUCCUCGUCAUGCAGAGUGGUAACGUGUACCACCGUAUAUCGAAGCUUGGGUAAACGGGCUAGAUCCAACCCCUUGGACGGAUGGUAGUGCACGGCUAAACUUAUUGUC